rnacentral:rRNA from 1 species
GUAACAMGGUUUCCGUAGGUGAACCUGCGGAAGGAUCAUUGCCGUUUCCGGAACCACGACCGGCGAACCAGUCCCGCGAGAACGCGCGSCCCGGGGAGCGCGCGGCCCGGGGGSGACCCCGGGGRCGCGCGUYCCCGCGAGCUKCGAACMACAACCCUUUKGGSGCGGSGAGCGCCAAGGAAUYGAAGCGGAAAGGGCGGCCGCCCCGCCCGGCGCGGGGAUCCGCCGCCCGACUGUKAAUCUCCUACAGACGACUCUCGGCAACGGAUAUYUSGGCUCUCGCAUCGAUGAAGAACGUASCGAAAUGCGAUACUUGGUGUGAAUUGCAGAAUCCCGUGAACCAUCGAGUCUUUGAACGCAAGUUGCGCCCGAGGCCACUCGGCCGAGGGCACGCCUGCCUGGGCGUCACGCCACCCAUCGCCCCCCGCCGCGGYAUUCCCAUGCCCCGCGGGGGAGCGGAGACUGGCCGUCCGUGCCCGAGCCCUCGGCGCGCGGUCGGCGGAAAUAGGAGGACACCGUGCGGCGCGACACGGCGUGUGGGGGUUGAGAGGCGAUUCGUCGCCGAUCGUACGUCGCGCCCGCAUUCCGCCGCGCGCAGUGUCACCCGUGGGACCGGACUCGCCCGCAGCCGCGGGCGCUCGGACCGCGACCCCAGGUCAGGCGUGGCCACCCGCUGAAUUUAAGCAUAUCAAUAAGCGGAGGAGAAGAAACUAACAAGGAUUCCCUUAGUAAC